UGUUUGAUGUUCUAACGUGGACCCGUGAUCCGGGUUGCGGACAGUGUCUGGUGGGUAGUUUGACUGGGGCGGUCUCCUCCUAAAGAGUAACGGAGGAGCACGAAGGUUGGCUAAUCCUGGUCGGACAUCAGGAGGUUAGUGCAAUGGCAUAAGCCAGCUUGACUGCGAGCGUGACGGCGCGAGCAGGUGCGAAAGCAGGUCAUAGUGAUCCGGUGGUUCUGAAUGGAAGGGCCAUCGCUCAACGGAUAAAAGGUACUCCGGGGAUAACAGGCUGAUACCGCCCAAGAGUUCAUAUCGACGGCGGUGUUUGGCACCUCGAUGUCGGCUCAUCACAUCCUGGGGCUGAAGUAGGUCCCAAGGGUAUGGCUGUUCGCCAUUUAAAGUGGUACGCGAGCUGGGUUUAGAACGUCGUGAGACAGUUCGGUCCCUAUCUGCCGUGGGCGCUGGAGAACUGAGGGGGGCUGCUCCUAGUACGAGAGGACCGGAGUGGACGCAUCACUGGUGUUCGGGUUGUCAUGCCAAUGGCACUGCCCGGUAGCUAAAUGCGGAAGAGAUAAGUGCUGAAAGCAUCUAAGCACGAAACUUGCCC
rnacentral:rRNA from 1 species